rnacentral:lncRNA from 1 species
GAAAACCUGGCCAUGGUAGGAAGAAUGGAAAUUGCAAUAACAAAAUCCUAAUUCUAAUAGAAUACCAACAAUUCUUUAAUUAGAUUAUAAUAAUACUAAGCAAUCUUAAUCAAAUUCAAAAAAACCUCAAAGAAAUUUUAAACAAAUAAUAAAAAUUCUUAAAGAAAAAUUAGAAGGAUCACAAAUAUCACUCAAAUACAUCUCAAUUCAAUCUUAAUUUAAUUCUAGUUAAAAUCCUAUUAAACUUCAUUCAAACUUUAGGCCAAAAAUAAUUAAAUCUUAAAUCCUAAUAAAAUCCUGAAUCCUAAAUCAAACUCUAAACAAACCUUAAACCAAAUUCCAACCAAAUCCUAAACCAAAUUCUAACCAAAUUCUAAAUCAAACCCUAAAUCCUAAAUCAAACCCUUACCAAAUCCUAAUCCAAAUCCUAAACCCUAAACCAAAUCCUAACCAAAUCCUAAACCCUAAAUAAAUCCUAACCAAAUCCUAAAUCCUAAAUAAAAUCCUAAUAAAAUUCUAAACCAAAUCCUAAAUUCUAAACCAAAU